GUCUCUGUGGUGUAACGGUUAGCACGGCCGCCUAUAAAGCGUGAAGUCCGGGUUCGAUUCCCGGUGGAGACA